GGAGGUAUAGCUCAGUUGGGAGAGCACUUGCUCGACAAGCAAGGGGUCGCUGGUUCAAGUCCAGUUGUCUCCA
rnacentral:tRNA from 1 species